AUUGAACGCUGGCGGCAGGCCUAACACAUGCAAGUCGAGCGAGCGGCGGACGGGUGAGUAAUGUCUGGGAAACUGCCUGUUGGAGGGGGAUAACUACUGGAAACGGUAGCUAAUACCGCAUACCAUCAGAUGUGCCCGGAUGGGAUUAGCUAGUCGGUGGGGUAACGGCUCACCUAGGCGGCGAUCCCUAGCUGGUCUGCGAGGAUGACCAGCCACAUGGGGACGGAGACAGGGGCCAGACUCCUGAGGGAGGCAGCAGUGGGGAAUAUUGCGCAAUGGGGGCAAGCCUGACGCAGUCAUGCCGCGUGUGUGAAGAAGGCCUUCGGGUGGUAAAGCACUUUCUGCGGGGAGGCGUUACCCGCAGAAGAAGCACCGGCUAACUCCGUGCCAGCAGCCGCGGUAAUAC
rnacentral:rRNA from 1 species